rnacentral:lncRNA from 1 species
CAUGUAUUAAGUAGUAAGCUCCCAUGUUAACAGUUGUAACUUGCCUGGUGCCCAAUAGAUGUCACUCUGUUUUCCUAGAAACUUUAAAAUAUCCCUCAGUGCUCCUGUUAAUUCAUGGUAGUGCCCCAAGGCACUCUGGCACCCAGUUUUGGAACUGCAGUUUUAAAAGUCAUAAAUUGAAUGAAAAUGAUAGCAAAGGUGGAGGUUUUUAAAGAGCUAUUUAUAGGUCCCUGGACAGCAUCUUUUUUCAAUUAGGCAGCAACCUUUUUGCCCUAUGCCGUAACCUGUGUCUGCAACUUCCUCUAAUUGGGAAAUAGUUAAGCAGAUUCAUAGAGCUGAAUGAUAAAAUUGUACUACGAGAUGCACUGGGACUCAACGUGACCUUAUCAAGUGAGAUGGAGUCUUGCCCUGUCUCCAAGGCUGGAGCCCAAUGGUGUGAUCUUGGCUC